rnacentral:misc_RNA from 1 species
AUUAAAUAGAUGCCAUGAAAAAUAAUAACUCUGUUUGAUCUAGCUCAGCUCUUGUUGAUAAAAUUCGAGCAGAACGUUGUUUUCUUUUUUUCUUCAAAAACAGAAAUAUUCAUCUGGAUCAAUUUUUUUUUUCUGUUUUGUAUAUUCAUAAUACUACAGCCUGUCACUGGCCGAGAUUGCCUCCAUGAGCCUCCUCCAUCUGACACUGUCUGGAGCAAUAGAUUGUCAUCAGUUGACUUCCAGAUUCCUAAGAUCUCUCUCAACAGAAUCAGUACAGAUAAUGAAAAAAAAAGUGCCAAGUAAAAGUACUUUAAACUACAUAAACAAUUCAAACUGUGAAGUGCUUUUCUUGUGAUGAAUGUGAGAUGGUAUAUGCUUCAAAUUCUGCACUAUCUCGUCAUAAAAAGUGGCACAAAGGUGAAAAUCCACACCAUCGAUUUAAAUGCGAGCUCUGCUUGUAUUCAACAGACUCUAGGAAGGACUUCAAAAGGCAUAGCUUCAUUCAUUCAGGUGAACGUCCAUUCACGUGUACUCUUUGUGGUAGAGGUUUUACUCGCAAUAAUCAUCUAAAGCGUCACAUGCUCACGCACAGUGCGAGCAUUCCUUACCACUGUCACAUGUGUCCAAAAUCUUUUCGUCGGUCUGACCUUCUAGCCACACACAUUCAAAAGCAUCGAGACGAUGAAAAUGCAAUGACAAUACUUACAUCAGGUAUGGUAACAACUGCUUUAAAAGAUGAAGUUUACAAGUUUUGAAUCACUCGAGUAUGAGGACUAUUAUAUUUUUGGUAUUUCACUAGCAUUUCUAAAAUAGUUUAAAAUUAUAAUUUGCAACAUGGAAAAAAUUUAUCUAAUCGUAAACUGUGUUGAUUAUUAUACAAGUAAGUAAUUAGAAGGAAGCUUAUUAAGUGAGCUAUAAUUUGUAAUAAUAUUGAGGAAAAAAAAAAUUUUUUUAUUUCAUUCAUUUUGAAAAGUAGAAAAAAGUACCUACUUUUAAGGUUUUAGAGUUAGUUUUAUUUUAUAAAAAAAUUUGUUGAACAAAAUUUCAAAGUAACAUCAGAAAAAUGUUAAAUAUAAAGAUUAAGCCAUUAAACUGAUACUGAGAAGAGAAAUUGUGAUCAGUUUUUUGAAAUAAAAUUUUUAAUAGUUUUACUAUUUUGUUAUAUGAACGCUGUAAGUCCAGUUACAAAAAUUUAAAAAAACUUAAAUAGAGUAUUGAUUUGUAUGUUUCAAUAAACUUAAAAAAAAAACAGGA